rnacentral:rRNA from 1 species
UACGUAGGGUGCAAGCGUUAAUCGGAAUUACUGGGCGUAAAGCGUGCGCAGGCGGUUUUGUAAGUCAGAUGUGAAAUCCCCGGGCUCAACCCCGGGAACUGCGUCCGAUACUGGCGGGCUUGAAUCCGGAGAGGGAUGUGGAAUUCCAGGUGUAGCGGUGAAAUGCGUAGAUAUCUGGAGGAACACCGGUGGCGAAGGCGGCAUCCUGGACCGGUAUUGACGCUGAGGCGCGAAAGCUAGGGGAGCAAACGGG